rnacentral:rRNA from 1 species
AGCGAACGCUGGCGGCAGGCCUAACACAUGCAAGUCGAACGAACCUUUCGGGGUUAGUGGCGGACGGGUGAGUAACACGUGGUAACGUGCCUUUAGGUUCGGAAUAACUCAGGGAAACUUGUGCUAAUACCGAAUGUGCCCUUCGGGGGAAAGAUUAAUCGCCUUUAGAGCGGCCCGCGUCUGAUUAGCUAGUUGGUUGAGGUAAUGGCUCACCAAGGCGACGAUCAGUAGCUGUUCUGAGAGGAUGAUCAGCCACAUUGGGACUGAGACACGGCCCAAACUCCUACGGGAGGCAGCAGUGGGGAAUCUUACGCAAUGAGCGAAAGCCUGACGCAGCCAUGCCGCGUGAAUGAUGAAGGUCUUAGGAUUGUAAAAUUCUUUCACCGGGGACGAUAAUGACGGUACCCGGAGAAGAAGCCCCGGCUAACUUCGUG